rnacentral:misc_RNA from 1 species
AAAAAAGAAAAAAGAAAAAGAAAUGUUUUCUGUUCUAAAUAUUGAUUUUGGAAUCAUUGUGAUGUAUUUUCAACUAGUUAAAAUUUGAAUUAAGAUUUGAGAGUUUUCAAAUUUACCAAAGAAAUAAAGAUUUCAUCCCACUGUUGCUGUACAGUCAUCACAACACUGAUGCUUGGGACUUUUAAGGUGAGGGAUAGUGACAAUUUUGGAAUCACAAAAAAUUUGUAGACUCAAAAGUUGGCAACUUUGAUGAAUGAUGUAGCAACUAGCAAGUUCAUCCUGCUGUUGCUUUCCAGUAAUUGAGGUAGCCGUUAAAUAUAUUGUAGAUAUUUCCAAGUUUAAUAAGAUAGAAAAUUAUUUAAAAUAAUAAUAGAGGACGUGUGCAUGACAUUCCCUGUUAAUAGUUGCCUCAAUAUGUUCUGUUUUUCUGAUGUCAAGCAGUUAAUAAUAUAUUGCUAAAUGGUAUGUAUAACUUUAACUUCCUUAUUUUCUUUCACAUUGAAAAUGAAUUCCCAUAUUCAAUUCCACUAUUUCUCUAGCAUGUUCUUACCGAGAUUACAUGCCUUGCUUCUGUGAAAUUGGAGAUCAUGCUUUCUGGUUGAUUGCAGACUGCUCAGUUUUCUUUUCUGGUUGCUUUUAUUUAUCCAUUUCUGAACUUGAUGGCAAUUAUUUGCAUCUUCUGCUUAACCUGAUAUUCUAUAAUUUUACUUUAGAUGAAUUGGUCUACUUUUUUAAGAGAAUCUUGCCGUUGUUUUUCACUGUACUAGGUGCUUCCUGUCAUGAUUGAUGUUGGAACCAACAAUGAGAAGCUGCUCAAAGACCCCUUGU